rnacentral:rRNA from 1 species
GUUGGGCACUCUAAGGAGACUGCCGGUGUUAAACCGGAGGAAGCGGGGAUGACGUCAAGUCCUCAUGGCCCUUAUGGUCCAGGGCUACACACGUGCUACAAUGGCCGGUACAAAGGGUAGCAAGACCGCGAGGUGGAGCCAACCCCAAAAAGCCGGUCUCAGUUCCGGAUUGGAGUCUGCAACUCGACUCCAUGAAGUUGGAAUCGCUAGUAAUCGUGGAUCAGCAUGCCACGGUGAAUACGUUCCCGGGCCUU